GUGGCAGAAACCACUCCACUAAAGCGUUCUUAAAGUUUUGUCCGCGCUCGUGGACCGCUUAACUUUCCUUGGUAAAAGAAUAAAAACUGGAUCCGACCACCGCUUGUUUUGCUUACCGGCGGUCUCGCCGCCCUCCAGUCCUCCCGCCGCCACCCUCCGAGCCCGGGAAGAGGAUGCCCUGCAUUCCUCUCUCCGUCCGAUCCCUCUCCUCCUCCCUCCUCCGCUCCCUCCUCUUUCUCUCCAUGACCAUCUUCCUCCUCUACCUCCUCCUCUUCCCCAACCCCCUACUCCGCCCCCCGGCCGCAUCCUCCUCCUCCGCCGCCCCCACCCUCGCCACCGCCGCCCCCACCCUCGCCACCGCCGGCGCUACGUCCGUCCACCACUUACUAUUUGGCAUAGCCUCCUCCGCCCGCGCUUGGCCCCGCCGCCGGGACUACCUCCGCCUCUGGUGGCGCCCCGCCCUCAUGCGCGGCUUCGUCUUCCUCGACUCCGGCGUCGGCGGCGGCGUAGGCGACGAUCCGACCCUCCCUCCGACUCGCGUCUCCGCCGAUGCUUCCCGCUUCCCCUAUUCCUUCAAGGGCGGCCUACGAUCGGCCGUCCGCGUGGCCCGGAUCGCCAAGGAGCUCGUCGAGGCUGUCGAUGGCCGCUUCGCCCCUGGCGACGUGAGGUGGAUCGUGCUCGGGGACGACGACACGGUGUUCUUCCCGGAGAAUCUCGCCGGAACGCUAGCGAAGUACGACUGGGAGCGGUUGUACUACGUCGGGGGUCGGUCGGAGGGCUUGACGCAGAACAUGGCGCAUUCUUUCGGGAUGGCAUUCGGGGGAGGGGGGAUUGCGAUCAGCUACCCAUUGGCGAGGGCUUUGGCGAAGGUUUUGGAUUCUUGCCUUGUGAGGUAUGCCCAUUUAUAUGGCAGCGAUGCUAGGAUUUUUGCCUGCAUAACCGAACUAGGGGUCGGCCUGACUUAUGAGCCCGGAUUCCAUCAGGUUGACCUUCGUGGAGACCUUCUGGGGGUGUUGUCUGCACAUCCAUUGGCCCCUUUGGUAUCACUUCAUCAUUUGGACAAUGUGGAGCCAUUGUUCCCUAGCAUGAAUCGUACAAUGGCCUUGAAGCAUUUAUUUGAAGCUGUAAAUGUGGAUCCAGCCAGGAUUUUACAGCAGACUGUUUGUUAUGACCGCUUGAAAAUGCUUACCGUUUCAGUUUCCUGGGGUUAUACGGUUCAGGUGUUUGAAGGCAAUCAACUUCUUCCUGACCUUCUCUCUUUGCAACAGACUUUUGCUCCAUGGAGAAGAAACCGCAAUAUCGCUUCUGGUUUUUAUAUAUUUAAUACAAGGGAGUUUCCAAGGGACCCAUGUAAAAGACCGGCUAUUUUCUUUUUGGAGAGAGUGUUUUCUGGUAGACAUAGAAUCAACAGCAAUUACAGCAGGCAUGUUACUAAUGAUUGUCUGCAAGGCAUGAGCUCAACAAAGAAUUUGCAACAGAUCAGAGUGUCCUCACAGCAACUUAAUCAUGAUAUUUGGCAGGCUCCAAGACGACAAUGCUGUGAUGUUUUACCUUCCUCCACUGACACGGUUAUGAAGAUUGAUGUUAGAAAAUGUAAAGAUGACGAGUUGAUUGCUAUGCAACCAUAGCUAGGAUUGAGAAUAAAACUAGUCUAUUGAGUAUGAGACCUAAGAAGUCCCUUUUGUUAACCUUAAGGCAAAUUCCAAUCCUUGAAGAUGACCAGAUUUGGUACCUGUCCUUCGGCAAUAUAAGUUGGAUUGUUCAGAACCCUGCUCACUAUGUACAUUGGAGUCUUCCUACAUGUUUGUUAUGUUGAACUACUUGAUACAGAAUCCGGAUAUAAUGAGGUUUCAGAGAGGAGAUGGAGUACAUUCAUGGGAAGGCGAUUUUUGUUUUGUUAACCUUCAAUUGAGGGUGUAAAUGUACUUAAACUGAAGCAAAGAUAAGAUGAACUAGCAAAAGUGGAAUAGACAGGAGCUAGUAUGAUGCCUGGAUCCUGAUGGCUCGGCCAUAUUCUACUUGCUAAUGAUGGCGUCAGCUUGUCGCCAUAACAACUGAAGCCAGUUUUGAGAGUGGCCCCAUGUAUAUUUCUGCAUCUAGAUUUUCAUUGGAGUUAGCAUGCUCGCGGUCUCUGUUUUUGUGCAUAAAUAGAGAUGCUCGCUCCUUUGUUUUUUCUUAGAUGAGUGCCUAAAUGUGCACAGAUAGAAAUUUGGAUGUGCUGCAGUUUAUUUUGUAUGAUAACUCUUAUGGCUUUUAUAGAUAAAUAUCUGUCGUUCCCUUUGUCUGGUGAA